CCCAAAGUACGGAAUAGCCUCUGGAAACGGAGAGUAAUACCGUAUGUGCCCUUCGGGGAAAGAUUUAUCGCCUUUGGAUUAGCCCGCGUUGGAUUAGGUAGUUGGUGGGGUAAUGGCCUACCAAGCCUACGAUCCAUAGCUGGUUUGAGAGGAUGAUCAGCAACACUGGGACUGAGACACGGCCCAGACUCCUACGGGAGGCAGCAGUGGGGAAUCUUAGACAAUGGGGGAAACCCUGAUCUAGCCAUGCCGCGUGAGUGACGAAGGCCCUAGGGUCGUAAAGCUCUUUCGCCAGGGAUGAUAAUGACAGUACCUGGUAAAGAAACCCCGGCUAACUCCGUGCCAGCAGCCGCGGUAAUACGGAGGGGGUUAGCGUUGUUCGGAAUUACUGGGCGUAAAGCGCGCGUAGGGGAUUAGUCAGUCAGAGGUGAAAUCCCAGGGCUCAACCCUGGAACUGCCUUUGAUACUGCUAGUCUUGAGUUCGAGAGAGGUGAGUGGAAUUCCGAGUGUAGAGGUGAAAUUCGUAGAUAUUCGGAGGAACACCAGUGGCGAAGGGGCUCACUGGCUCGAUACUGACGCUGAGGUGCGAAAGUGUGGGGAGCAAACAGGAUUAGAUACCCUGGUAGUCCACACCGUAAACGAUGAAUGCCAGACGUCGGGGGGCAUGCCCUUCGGUGUCACACCUAACGGAUUAAGCAUUCCGCCUGGGGAGUACGGUCGCAAGAUUAAAA
rnacentral:rRNA from 1 species